rnacentral:lncRNA from 1 species
AGCCAGCUGCCUCGCAAUGCUAGGGUCCACGCCAUCGGCUGAGUUGCAUCGAUCCCAGGCCUCCGGGUGCACGCCCAGUAACGGAGCUCUUGCCUCAAGGCCCCGAGCCUCAGCGCUGCUAGACCGCUCGUAGCCCUGGAACGCCAUGCGCAUUAUUGCUUCUUCAUGAAUAGCUUCUCCAGGUAUCGAGGCCCUCGCGGUUGUACGCCGAGUAUGCCCCAAGUAUGCGCCGGGCUGCCUCGAGAAUUCAUCCAUCUCCCCUCCAAGCUCCUAUCCUCCUGAAGCGCUGAGCCCAAGGCUUAGGCCUGCCAUCCUGCUGAGGUGGCUGGCCAAACCAGUAUCUACACUUGGGCACUGUCUGGGAUGUAUAUGAAAGCCUGUCCUCAAACGCCAAUAUUUGCGAAACCUUUGCUUUAAAAGUAAGUGCAAAAAAUAAGCUGACAAGCCUAGAACGACUACGCGCGAACACGCUGAAAGGAAUAAUGUGGUGCCUACGAAAGCAGCGUCGGUAAAAGAACGUAGAAGGUGAACAGUUUAUAGGUCAGGUGCGUUCGUAAAUAGCCUAGGAGUUACUCGCCUAGGACUUCCGCAUGCGGAGGACAAUUGUUUUACAGUACGGCAUUGAAAUUCCUCAAACUUCUUAACCGCAGGCAACGUCGUAUUACUCCACCCCGGGAAUAUGUGUCGGACAACCGUAAACCAGAAGUUAAGAUUUGCCGCAUACCCAUUAGAUGGGAAAGCCGAAACACACAACGCGGUUCAUCUCUGCGAAGUCAUACUUGUCACUGCUGCGAUUUCGCUUAGGGACGUGGCCUUUGGAGGUAAGCCGACCCCGGUGGUCGGUCGCGCCAAGAGCGCUGGUGUAGGGUCCGUGCUGACAGAAAUGCAGUAGAAGAUGGGUUCACGUAUGGUGGGUUUCCCGCUUACAACGACAUACGGGAAGGGCUCCUCAAUCUAUGUGUACGCCAUGCUGAUAUCGAGCCCCUUGCCUAAUAUGAGGUCUGUCAUGGAGAUAGAUCAUCAGCGCGGACUUGCGCAGAUCGUUGCGACGCACGCUGAUAGCCGAGCAGAAGGUCCUUACCUCAGGUCGCUUACCCUAGUUACUGUUUCCUCUCGCAGAUGGGGUUCAUAACACUUUUCCUCCUUUUUCCUUUUUUGUUUCUUCCUUCUUUUUGACUACGCUAGAACCCGCGGUCCAUGAGCCUCCUGGCUCGUCUGAGCCUUGUAACAUAACAUAACCGCAGGCCCAAGUGAGAAGGUAGGAGUUCUUGCGCAAGCUAGGAAAGCGACAGGCUUGCUAACAGCAUUUUAUUUCCUAUAAAUGCAGCAAAAUCAAGCCAAACUUCGGUGACGGUCCUGAUAGUUGCUGAGAGCCGUUUAGCAUUGGCUAAUCAGGGCUAAUCAGGGUAGAGUCUCGUCCACACCUUUGGCCAUCUUGAAAUGUUUUGCCGCAAAAGCGAACGCAGUGAUAACUUUCCUCACCGAAAAGGUGCUGGCUUGUAUGCCGGCUUGUAUGCACACCUUUGCUGCCCUCUGCCUCAAGGCCGCGGCAGUCGCUGGAGACGCCUUGUCGCAUGCUUUACUUACACGGACGAAUUGGAAGAGACCAGGGUCUGCCAUGUAGGAAAUCCUUCACUCCCAUUUGAGCCUAAUGGAAACCCCACGAUAAACCACAGGGACCCUUAACAGAGUACGCCUGCAGCUAUAGUUAAGUCAGCUGCGGAACAGGGAUCACUGUAAUGUUGAUGUAGUUCUUGCAUGGUAGGCCCAAUUACAAACCACGGACGCCCGUCUACGGGACGCUCAGAAAGGGAGGGCCCAUGGGUCAAGGUGGUUGUUGCCGAUGGUGGACGUGAUUGUCAC